rnacentral:rRNA from 1 species
CGGAUUCUGGCUCAGGAUGAACGCUAGCUACAGGCUUAACACAUGCAAGUCGAGGGGCAGCAUUGGGAUAGCUUGCUAUUCAGAUGGCGACCGGCGCACGGGUGAGUAACGCGUAUCCAACCUUCCUGCCAGUAGGGAACAGCCCGGUGAAAGUCGGAUUAAUGCCCUAUGUUCUUCAAUGCGGACAUCUAAGUUGAAGGAAAGAUUCAUCGCUGGCAGAUGGGGAUGCGUCCGAUUAGCUUGCCGGCGGGGUAACGGCCCACCGGGGCGACGAUCGGUAGGGGUUCUGAGAGGAAGGUCCCCCACACUGGUACUGAGACACGGACCAGACUCCUACGGGAGGCAGCAGUGAGGAAUAUUGGUCAAUGGGCGUAAGCCUGAACCAGCCAAGUAGCGUGCAGGAAUGACGGCCCUACGGGUUGUAAACUGCUUUUAUGCGGGGAUAAAGUGCGGCACGUGUGCCGCUUUGCAGGUACCGCAUGAAUAAGGACCGGCUAAUUCCGUGCCAGCAGCAGC